GUGAGGGAUGACGGCCUUCGGGUUGUAAACCUCUUUCAGCAGGGAAGAAGCGAAAGUGACGGUACCUGCAGAAGAAGCGCCGGCUAACUACGUGCCAGCAGCCGCGGUAAUACGUAGGGCGCAAGCGUUGUCCGGAAUUAUUGGGCGUAAAGAGCUCGUAGGCGGUCUGUCGCGUCUGGUGUGAAAUCCCAUGGCUCAACUGUGGGCUUGCAUCGGGUACGGGCAGACUAGAGUGCUGUAGGGGAGACUGGAAUUCCUGGUGUAGCGGUGGAAUGCGCAGAUAUCAGGAGGAACACCGAUGGCGAAGGCAGGUCUCUGGGCAGUUACUGACGCUGAGGAGCGAAAGCAUGGGGAGCGAACAGGAUUA
rnacentral:rRNA from 1 species